UCGCACAUGCUCAGAACGCUGACUCCUGCCCCGCUCUGGUUUCCGGGCUCUCAGCCCUCUUCCUUGGCGCCCGGAGGCGGGAUGUGCUAGCAGGAAGGCCUGUCUGCAAUCAAGCCAUUCAGAAGUCAAGAGUGGAGGCUCCAUUUCUAAAGAACUCAGAGUGGGCAGAUCUUAUUGACAUCUCAUCUGGGGUGACCUGGUCUUCAACUGAGACAUCUUUUGGUUCAUCACAGAUACCCCUUGCAGUUACAGAAGUUUCCUCCUAAGCCAUACCGGGCUGCCACUGUUCUUCAUAUAGCAGGUUCAAACUAAUGGAUCCAAGCUAAGGGACUCCAUAUUCUCCAAAGCCUAUAAGCAAAAUGCUAGUGUGGUGUCAGGGGUAAGAAGUUCCAUUGUGUCCCCACUGAGGGGACACAGAAGUCUCAAAAGAGUCACUGGCCUGCCAGUGAUCUGGAAACCAGUAUUGAAGAUGGUGAAGCCAUGCAUGGAAGGCACCUGGAUCAAGGAGAUUUAAAAGAGCUACCUACUGGCUGGGCACAGUGUCUCAUGCCUGUAACCUGGCACUUUGGGAGGCUGAGGCAAGU